rfam:Schistocephalus solidus strain NST_G2 genome assembly, scaffold: SSLN_scaffold0006892
GGCCACGUAGCUCAGUUGGUUAGAGUGUUGGCUGUACUAAAGCCUUCCCUUUGCUGGCGUGGGUUUGAAUCCCAUCGAGGCCA